rnacentral:tRNA from 1 species
AAUGAUGUAGUUUAUUAUAAAACAUGUGCUCUGCAAGCACAAGAUAGAGAAUUUCUUAUCGUUA